AAGAGGGGUGGGUAUAGUGUAAUGGGAGGAAAAAAGGCAAAAGGCACCAACUUCCGACUUCCUUUGGCACAGUCGAAGGGCAUGGAUCUCCUGCAGUAACCAGUAUUGUGCCAUAUCAGGAGGAGGAGGAGGGUUGAAGAAUGGCAACCUUUACUGCAAUGAUAGUGCUGCUGAAGUUUCCAUAGCGACCCACCCACAUUGUCCCUGGUUCCUGCUGGCUUUAUCAUCUAUUUCCACUCCCACUAGAGUCCUGAAGAAGGGUCUCCCUAUAAAGAAAUAUCCUGGGCAAAAUUAGGCAUCAACAAUAGCAACAGGUUUGAGGGCCAGAAGGUGUUUGGAAGAUAUGUGGGAAAAAAAAUCUGUUUAUUUCAGCAUUGUGCUUGAUAAAACACACAGGCAUGUGCAUAUAGAGAGAACUGCAGCUUUGUUCUUACUGGAUAUUUAUGCAAGAGAAAUAAAUUCUGUAAAUUCUACAGCU